AUAAAGUGCCCUGACCCAUGCGUGCCUCAGCAGUGCAAGCAGAAAUGCCCUCCUGGGGCACCUGUUCAACAUUGCUAGCAGAAGUGGCCACCCAAGAGUAUGUAAGAGCUUGAGCUUUUAUCUGCAUCUGGAAAGGAUAAGGACAAUCAGCUCAACUAGUUCCAGAGCUCCACCUUCCUCUUCUCUUCAAAGCCUAUCAUGGAUACGGAAGAAGCUUCUCCACCCUUCAGCCUCAAUAUGCGAGUGCUGCUUCCUGACAGACAGAGGUUUCUUACCUGCGGGUGCUGUACUGCUUCCCUCUGGGAGGUGCCCAAGAAAGCAUCGCAGAGCCUCUGAAGGAAGAGCAGCCGCUCUCCUCCUGGGCGCCCUCUGAGGAUUCUCUCGCUGUCUUCUGUGUCGGUCGGUCACCUGGGCAUGGGUUUCUACCAGCUGAGCAAUUGUUACUUAUCCUCCACGUCCUGAAUAAAAUACAGUUCUUUUGUGAGAUGGGAAAAUAUUUUCUUUCUUUGCAAACCUGCUUUUAGCAAUAUCAUAUGAUAAUGUUGCUUGAUUUCUAUCCUUCUUUGAUCCCGAGUUUCAGGCUUUCACAGUCAGUGUUAUCUGAAUUUUGAGUCGUAUCAAUGAUUAUUUCUAUACAGUUAAAAAUCCAGGUUAUUUUCCUAAUU